rnacentral:rRNA from 1 species
UACAGAGGUGGCAAGCGUUGUUCGGAAUUACUGGGCGUAAAGGGCGCGUAGGCGGCCUUCUAAGUCAGACGUGAAAUCCCCCGGCUUAACCUGGGAACUGCGUCUGAUACUGGAGGGCUUGAGUGCGGGAGAGGGAUGUGGAAUUCCUGGUGUAGCGGUGAAAUGCGCAGAUAUCAGGAGGAACACCCGUGGCGAAAGCGGCUCUCUGGGACGGUACUGACGCUGAGACGCGAAAGCGUGGGGAGCAAACAGG